GGAGGGCUGUAGCUCAGUGGUAGAGCUCCUGCUUUGCAGCAGAAGGCCCCCGUUCAAGCCCUGGAACCUCCA